CCCACUUCAGCCUCCCAAAGUGCUGGGUCUACAUGCGUGACGCAGUGCCUGGCCUAUUUUUUUUUUUAUUUUUUUGAGACAGAGUCUCUUUCUGUUGCUCAGGCUGGAGUGCAGUGGCACGAUUUCAGCUCACUGCAACCUUUGUCUCCAAGGUUCAAGCAAUUCUCUUGCCUCCGCCUCCUGAGUAGCUGGGACUACAGGCGUGAAACAUCAUGUCCUGUUAAUUUUGUAUUUUUAGUAGAGAUGGGGUUUCGCCAUGUUGGCCAGGCUGGUCUCAAACUCCUGACCUAAAGUGAUCUGCCUGCUUCAGCCUCCUAAAGUGUUGGGAUUACAGGCGUGAACCACAGCACUCGGCCAAAACACAUUUAAUUUUUAUCCUUCCCAAGGGUUCCCACUAAAACUAUAUAAAAUGCUUGUUGGGGGGUGUGGGGCUAGCAUAAACUCUAAGGAUAAUGAUGUGAAAAAAGGUAUCAAAGGAGCCAAAUUUUGGAGGGUGGCAGGCUUGAAAAACCAAGUUGUAAAUGGACAUUAAGUAAAUACAAGAACAAAUUCAAUAUGCACUCCAGAAUUGUCAAAAUGCUCAAGAGUUGAUGAGAUCUCUAGAAGUGGCGUGAAUUGGGAUGUUGGAUUAAGGAAGACUGGUUGAAUGAAGGUUGUUUGAGAGUCAGGUGAAUUCCUGGAUUUCUCCUUUCUCCCACUUUAUAUCACUGGUUGAUUGCUCCUCCCACACUUUGGCCAAUGUCUACAGGUUUAGGUUCCAGAGAGGGGAAAAAAGAUGGUUUCUGGGUGAAGGAACACCAGGCACAAACAACAGGUAGGACAAAUGAACAAGUAGCAAGUUAUUAGAUUUCAACCUAACCACUGAAUAGUUACACUAAAUGAAAAUAAUCUAAACACUUCACAGACAGGCUGAAUUUUUUCUAAAAGUCAGACUGGAUAAAAAAUAAUACCCAAGUAUAUGCUGUAUACAAGAAACCCACUUUAAUCAUAAAGGCAUAGAUAAAAAGUAAAAUCAUAUAAAAAUAUGUGUCAUAAAAACACUAAUUAUAAGAAAGCCAGAAUGGUUAUAUUACUAUCAGACAAAGUAGACUUCAGUACAAAAAAUAUUACCAGGGAUAAUAAGGGAUAUUUAAUAAUGAUAAAGGAUUAAUUCAUAAAGAGGGCAUAAAAAUCUUAAAUGUGUAUGCAUUUUUAAAAAGACCCUCAAAAUACAUGAAAACUGAAAGAACUGCAAGGAGAAACAGAAAAAUCUACUAUAGUUGAAGACUUAAUCCGUCUGUCUUAGUAAUUGAUAGAACAAGUGGAAAAAAAAUCAGUAAAGCCAUAGAACUAAAUAACAGCAUUAACUAAUUUGACCUAUUGACAUUUCUAGAACACUGAUCCAACAAGCGCAAGAUUGUUGUAUUUUUUUCAAGCAUAUGGAGAGAAUUCACCAAGAUAAAUCACAUGCUGGGCCAUACAGCUCAAUUAAAAAAAAGCUGUUAAUAUACUCAUAGGCAGAAGAGAAGCUAGUAUACCCAUGGAACAAGAAUACUCUAAAAAAUCAUAGAAUAAUAACAGCAAAACCUUAGACAUUAUAAAUACACAAGAUAGAAGAAAUGAAACACUACAGACAUGUGACAAGAUAAAGUGAGGAAAUCUCCCAUAAAGUAGAGGAAACUGCAAACACACAUGCACACAAGGGGAAUGGUAGAGAAAAGAUGAAAACUUGUGUGACAUCUGAAUAAAAGGAGUUUUGGAAAGAGAACAGAAAAUUUGGAGGGGAGAAAAUAGUCACAUACUACUUUAAGAAAAUUUUCUUAAAGGACAUUGGUGUCUAGACUAAAAGGGCCUAUUGAGUAUCCAGUAUAUUGGAUGAAAAUAGACUCACCCUAAAGCAAGUCAUCAUGAAAUACUGAGGAUGAAUGAAAGAUGCUACAAGUUUCCAGGGUGGUGGGAGCAAUAAAGGAUCUGAAAUCACAAUGGCUUCUUUCAACAGCGACACUGGGAUCUAAAAGAUAAUAGAGCAAUGCCUUCAACAUUCUGAAGGCAAGUGCUUUUUAUUUUGAAUUUGAUAACUUACCAAACUAUCGAUUAAACAUGAGAGUAGAAUAAAGACAAAUUCUAGAAAUCCAAGGUCUCAAAAUUUUACCUUCCAUGUAUCCUUGAUCAGGAAUUUACUGGAGGAUGUGCUCCAGGAAAACAAUGGAGUGUUUGGGAAGCUGAGGUGGGAGGAUCACUUGAGCCCAGGAGUUCAAGACUGUAUUGGGCAACAUAGCGAGACCCUGUCUCUACAAAAAAAUAAAAAAAAUUACUCGAGUGUGGUGGCGCAUGUCUGUUGUUCCAGCUACUUGGGAGGCUGAGGCAGGAGGAAUGCUUGAGCCCAGGGAAGUCAAGGCUGCAGUGAGCUGUGAUUGCACCACUGCACUCCAGCCUGGGCGACAGAGCAAGACCCUGCCUCAAAACAAACCUAAGGAAACUAAGAAAAAGAAACAAACCUAAGGAAACUAAGAAAAAGAAAGACAUAGUGAUAAAGAAACAGGACAUUCAACACGGAAGAGAGGUGUAGGGAAAUCCAAAGGUGACAGCUGCACCAGGUGUAGAUAUAAUCAGUUCAUACUAGAGUGAAUCUUAAGAGACAGGUACACUGGUGGCUAUCAUCACCAACAUGCGUGCUGCCAUUAUCCUUUUUCAUUUUUUAAAUCUGAACCUGACCAAGUUUAUCUGUAUUUGGCUUGCCUAGAUCAUGUCCUGGUAAAAUUCAUGUGUCCUCCGCCACACCUUACAGCUUGGAUCAGCUGAAGAUACUCAUUUCAUCCUACAGACAUGUUUUCUCUGACCCAUUCCUGAGAGCUGGGGGUAAUUAAGAUUGAGUUUAGAAGGCAAAUUCCUGCUGCUGUACAUGGUCCACGGUACAUGACCAGUGAAUGGUCAGUACAUGGUCUACGGUACAGGCUGGCCACAUGCCUACACCAUAUCAAGUGCUAUGCUCCCCAAUACUCAUUCGUUACUUUGCCUGCUGACUUUCUAGAAGGGUAUUCUUGUAUACUUUCCAAAACGCUGAAGCCGAAACUAUGACUAUGUGUAGCUUAUCUUCUCUUAGGAACUUUUAUUUUGUUUUGCCCUCUUUUGGCACAGAUAGGUUUGUGCUUGCUCCUAAGCUUUUAUGUUAAAACUUUCAUGCUAAUUUAUAUAUAAAAAUUGCAGAAAAUAUUAAACAUACAAUUGACAGAUUUGAUGACAGUAAAAAACAAUAAUAUGAAGUAGGCUAUUUCAGUUAUCUCAGCAGAGGUGGGAGCAGGCAGUAAGAAAGGACUUGAAAAAUGCAGUGGGUGUUACAAGACCCAAGGAAGUUUUGAAGGCACACAACACACACUUCACAUCUCCCCAUAAAGACAUUUCUCCCUCUGUUCUUAUGCACACCCUUCCCUCUUGAAAUGUUCAAUUGUCUGAUCUUUUAAGUGUCAACUCUAAUGUCUCUGCUUUAGAGAGGCCUACUCUGACCACACUCCUCACUCACUCUCUGUCACUUUUCACACUCUGUAAACAUCUUGUUUACUUGGUUACUAUGUACCUUUGCAUAGUCACCACCUCAGUGUAAGCUCUGUGAGGGAAGAGAGCUUGUCUUGCUCACUACUGUAUCCUUGGUGUUUGAAAGCGUCUGGCAAAUAUUAAUCUCAUCAAAAAUGACGUUGAAUGAAUAUUACUGAAGGAAGUUGGUUUUUCAAGUGAAUGAAGAGGAAGCAAAAACAAAGUUGAAAACCACAAAAAAGUUAAAUUACUUUUGAAACAUGGAACCUCAUUCAUAUUUGUUCUCUAAAGGUUUUGUCUUUUACAUCUAAGUCCUGGGUUUGAUUUUUGUGUGUGUGUGCACAUAUGGUUAAGAGAUAGGAAUCCAGUUUGAAUUUACUGAUGAAUUUCCCCAGUGAUCUACAAUACUACCUGUCAUAUAUCACUUUUACAUAUAUGUAGUUAUCUACUCCUGGUCUGUUUUUGUGUUGAAUAUCGUCUCAAUAUUUCAGCUUUAAAAUAUGCUUUGACAUGUGGUAGAGCAGGUGUGUUACGAAAAAUUUUAGGCCGGGCAUGGUGGCUCAUGCCUGUAAUCCCAACACUUUGGGAGGCCGAGAAGGGUGGAUCACAAGGUCAGGAGUUCAAGACCAGCCUGGCCAAUAUGGUGAAACCCCGUCUCUACUAAAAAUACAAAGAUUAGCUGGGCAUGGUGGCAGGCGCCUGUAGUCCCAGCUACUUGGGAGGCUGAGGCAGGAGAAUAGCUUGAACCCGCGAGGCAGAGGUUGCAGUGAGCCGAGAUCGCACCACUGCACUCCAGCCUGUGUGACAGAGCGAGAUUCCAUCUCAAAACAGAAAAAGAAAAAUUUUAAAUAUAUAUAAACGUAGAGAGAAUAAGUUCUUCUGGAACUUUGGGUAUAUAUCAGACCUUUUCCUUCUAUUGUUCAUGUCUCAAUUUCUAUUUCAUAUUUUUUUUCUAAUGUCUUUGCUCAUGAGUGAUAAUUACCUGUCAUUUUGUUUUUUUUUUUUGAGACGAAAUUUCACUCUUCCGCCAAGGCUGGAGUUAAGUGGUGCAAUCUCGGCUCACUGCAACCUCCGCUACCGAGUUCAAGCAAUUCUCCUGCCUCAGCCUCCCAAGUAGCUGGGAUUACAGGCGCGUGCCACCACAUCUGGCUAAAUUUUAUAUUUUUAGUAGAGAUGGAGUUUUGCCUUGUUGGCCAGGCUGGUCUCGAACUCCUGAUCUCAGGUGAUCCACCUGCCUUGGCCUCCCAAAAUGCUGGGAUUACAGGCAUGAGCCACUGCGCCCGGCCUGUCAUUUUCCUUUCUUUAUAAUACUUGCUUGGUUUUGGUAAUUAGCCUUUUAAGUAUUCUCAUUUUUUCAUUGUUUGAAAAAGUUGUGCAAGUUUGGAAUUAGCUGUUAUUAGAAUUUUGGUAUAACUUGCCUAUAAAAUCACGUCAUUCUGGUGUUUCAAUUAUUGUUUUUUUAAGGAAACUAUCCAUUUCUUCUAUUUUUUCAAAUAUAGAUGCAACAAAGAUCACAAAGAGACUGUUAUGAGCUAUCUUAACUCAAUAUAUCUAUUUUUUGAGACAGAGUCUGACUCUGUUGCCCAGGCUGCAGUGCAGUGGUGUGAUCAUGGCUCACUGCAACCUCCACCUCCUGGGCACAAGUGAUCCUCCCACCUCAGCCGCCCAAGUAGCUGGAACUACAGGUGUGUGCCACCAUAGGCAAGAGCCACUGCGCUUGGCUUUUUUUUUUUUUGAGGCAGGGUCUUACUCUGUUGCCCAGGCUGGAGUGCUGUAGUGUGACCAUGGCUCACUGCAGCCUCAACAUCUUGAGCUCAAGCAAUCCUCUCAUCUUAGCCUCCUGAGUAGCUGGGACUACAGGUGCACACCACUACAUCUGGCUAAUUAAAAAAUUUUUUUUUGCAGAGACAGGGUCUCAUGUUGCCCAGGCUGGUCUUGAACUCCUGGGAUGAAACAAUCCUCCUGCUUAGGCUUCCUAAAGUGCUAGGAUUACUGGCAUGAAACACCAUGCCUGGCCUGUUUGUCAUAUUUUCUAUCAUUGGAUCUUUGUGCCUAAGUUUUUGGAGAGGUUUCCAAUUUUUUUCUUUCCCACUGUUCCUGGGGCUAAGGCCACGAUACAAAAGUAUUCCCACUGUCUUUCUCAUCAUAUGCGAGGGGAUAUUCUAGUAAACACACUGAAACUGCUGCUUUUCAGGGCUCCAUGCUUUGGGCACAUAUCUCUGAUCUAACCUCCUCAACUUGCUCAAGUCCUGGGCUCUGUCUUCCACGCAUACGAUACCCUUUAAAGCAUAGGCUUUAGACCCUGAGGGAAUGGCGGAUAUUCCUAGGGCAAGCAUUAGUACUUUUUUUGAAUUUGUACUUGCCCUUUUUUCUAGCCUCAGAAGAUAAUCAUUACCUCUUGAUAGUUUAAUCAUACUCAUGUUUUAAAAUUAUAUAUAUAUUUCCAUAUGUAUAUGCACAAGUGUGUUUAUAUACCUAUUUUUUCAGGCUUUUUACUGUUGUUUAGCAAGUUUCUCUGGCAGUUGUUAGAAACUUGUCUAUCUAUCUGAUCUUUAAAUUGCUGUAAUUGUAAAUCUCUUAGCAUGGCAAAUUAAAAACUAAGAAAAGAGCAUCAUUGCCAUCUGGUGGAGAGACCUACUAUUACCAAUCUAAAUGAGACCCAAUGAUUCAGGCAAGGCCUUCUCAUUCCUCCCACAUUUAGUAACUGAGUCCUGUCAAAUCUUUAAUUAUUAGGUCUUUCAAAUCUGUCCCUUGACUUCCAUUCUCCCAGUGCCUUAGUCUAGUUUCUUUUUUUUUUCUUUCUUUUUUUUUGCUAAAAUCAUUGCUUUUGAAUUGGUCUCCUUCUUCUUCUUCUUCUUUUUUUUUUCUAAAGAGAAGGGGUCUCACUUUGUCACCCAGGCUGGAGUGGAAUGGCAUGAUCACAGCUUACUGCCACCUUGAAUUCCUAGGCUCAAGGGAACUCCUCCCAUCUCAACCUUCAGAAUAGCUGGGACAACAGGCGCAUGCCACUGUACCCAGCUAAUUUUUAAAUUUUCUGUAGAGAUGGGGUCUCACCAUCUUGCCCAGACUGGUCUUCAACUCUUGGGCUCAAAUGAUCCUCUCGCCUCAGCCUCCCAAAGUGCUGGGAUUACAGGUGUAAGCCACUACAGUUGGCUUUUCUCCCUUUAGUUACUAUUCUUUCAAAAUAUUUUCCUUGUUCCUGUUGUCAAUCUUAUUUUUACACUUCCACAUUAAUUUGAUGUUUUUGUUUUGUUUUCUUUGAGACAAAGUCUCACUCUAUUGCCCAGGCUGGAGUGCAGUGGUGCUAUCUGGGCUCAUUGCAACCUCCACCUCCCGGGUUCAAGCGAUUCUCCUGCCUCAGUCUCCUGAUAGGUGAGAUUACAGGUGUGCGCCACCACACCCAGCUAAUUUUGUAUUUUUAGUAGAGAUGGGGUUUCACCAUGUUAGCCAGGCUGGUCUUGAACUCCUGACCCCAGGUGAUCCACCCACCUCAGCCUCCCAAAAUGCUGGGAUUACAGGCAUGAGCCACUGCACCCGGCCUUAAUUUGAUGGGUUCUGUAUCAAGUUCUUGCUUAUGAGCAAAAACUGUGGAACCAAUAACAGCAGUCUGGCUAGAGAUGAGAACAAUGUAGAAGUCCAAUAAAUGCUGUCUGAAUUGAAAAAGUGGCACCAUUUGCUCAUUUGCCUAAUUUAUCUAGGAAGCAGUACACGCGCAGAAAUUCCCAAGCUGUUUUCUAUAAUAACAUAUUAAUGAACGACAUUCACAUGUGUAAUACUCCUGUGGGCUUACCCAGAGUUUUUUUUUUUAAACUUAAAAUUAUUUUUAAUUACAAAAGGCAUACAUACCUAACACUUUAAACAUUCACAGUUUUGUGAAUGAACAAAUACACUGAUAAUGCUGAGUGCCAGGGUUUUGACUGUGGAAGAAGAUAAAAGUAAGGAAUAGGAAAAGGCAAGGAAGAACCCUGUAGCGGUUGGACUGGAACUGGAGAUAUCAGGAAAACUUGUGAUUUCUAAUACAUGUUUCCUAGCUCUUUCUGUCAAAGGGGCCUAAAAGCAAUGACAACCCAGGAGGCUCAGAUCAUGGUUUCUAAAAACCAUUCUCCACUAAAAGAAACUAAGGCUCUUUGGAGAAAUGGCUGAUUCCAAGGCUUUAGUAGAAUAUUUUCCUUAUAGUAGAAUGCCACAGAAUAAACACAGAAAUAAUAAUACAAUUGGAAGAAUCCCCACUUGGCAACACCAGAGUAACAAUUAAUUCCACCAAGAAAUAUCACUGGAUGCUAAAAUGAGUGUGUGAAAGUUUGUUGAGAAACAAAAUAGUUAUCAUCUGAAAGUAUUUCCCCACAAAAUGCUUACUAACUUAACGUAAAAAAUUAGAAACUUUACAGUAGAGUAAUAUAGCAGAUAUCACCUAAUACAAGUGAUCAAAAUUAACAUCCUUGUAAUGGGACAACUGACACCAUGAUACGGUGCACUGAAAAGAACAAUGCCAUUUCUGUGGUAUCCCCGCCAAAAAUGUAUAAGCUCAGUCUAAUCAUCAAGAAAUACCAGAAAAACCCAGAUUAAGAGUUACUCUAUAAAAAGUCUACGGGUUGGGAACAAUAGACACUGAGGACUACUAGAGGAGGGAGGGAGGGAAGGUGCAAGGGUUGGAAAACUACCUAUUGGGUACUAUGCUCACUACCUGGGUGUCGGGAUCAAUGGUGCCCCAAACCUCAGCAUCACGCAAUAUACCCAUGUAACAAACUUGCACAUAUACUCCCUGAGUCUAAAAUAAAAGUUGAAAUUAAAAAAAAAAAUACAACUGGCCCAUAACCUUGGCAUUUUGAAAGACUGGCUGAAGAACUGCUCCAGAAUAAAUGAGACUACAGACAUGACAACUAAAUGUAAUGUUACUCCAGAGUGGAUCCAGAUCAGACUUUUUUUUUUUUUUGCAUAUUACUGAAACAAUUAGCAAAAUAUGAAAAAGAUUUGAUAAUAGUAAAGUAUUAAUGUUAAUUUUCUGAUUUUGGUAAUUGUGCUAUGGCUAUGCAGGAAAACACCCUUGUUCUUUGGAAAUACAAACUUAAGUAAUUGGGGUAAAGAGGCACCACAUCUAGUAAGGAAUAUUCAAAUGGCUCAGAAAAAAGUACUUACUCGAAGUUGAUGAUAAAGGGAAACCUCUUCCUUACAGUAGAAUGAUGACUAAUUAAUACAGAAAUAAUAAUAGAGUUAGAACAAUCACAAUUUUGGAAACAUCCUAGUAAAAAUUUAUUCAGACAAGAAUCGUCAAAGGAUGCUAAACCUAGGAGGGGUAGAUUUGAUGAGGAACAGAAUUGUCAACAAGGUCUCAAAGUUUCUCCUCACAAAUUACCCACUAAUUGCAAAAGGAAAAACAAUAACGAUACACUGGAGAAACUGGACAUCUUACCCAAGUGAUCAAAAUUAGCAUCACCAAUAAGGGACAAAUGGACAUUCUGUGCAUCUGGAUGUAUACCUGCAAUACAUAUCACUUACAGCAUUUCAACCCUCACUGCACUACCCCAAUCUAACCAUGAGGAAACAUCAGAAAAACCCAAAUAGAAGGAUACUCUAUCCUUUAGCUGUCCUGUAUUUUUCAAAUAUAUUACUAUUAUAAAAAACAAAGAAAAGCUGAGGAACUGCUCCAGAUUAGAGGGUUAUGGCAAUACAACAUAUGAUCCUAGGCUGGAUCGUGGAGCUGAAAAAAAUUACCAAUAAAACAGCAAAUGAAAUUGAAAUAUGGACUGUAAAGUAUUAUGGCAAUGUUAAAUUUCUGAACUUGAUAGCUGUACUUGGGUAAGACAGCAUGCUUGUUCUUAUGAAGUGCAUGUGUAGUGUUAAAGGGUAAAGAGUAUGAUGUCUACAAUAUACUUUCUAAUGGGUCGAGGAUUCUAGGAUACACACCCCCAGUUAAGGGAACUGGGAGUUAAAAGGUAUUCGAAGGCUGCCAUAAGGAUGUAAAGAGUUAAGUCUCUACCCUUACACCCACUCCAGAGAAAAACAGUACUAUUAGCUUCCUGUGUUUUCCACAUGGAUACAAAAACUUUUGCACACAUAUGUAAUUCUUCUAUCAUUCUGACAGCUAUAUAUUCUAAUGGAUGAAUAUAUAAAAUGUACUUAAGUGUUCUAUUGGCAUUUGUUUCUAGUAUCUUUUAUAUUACAAUCUGAUAUCUUAACAGAUUCUUUCAUCACUUUUACAUUUAUUUUGAUAAAAGUUAGGUUUGGCUUUAAUUCCUUGUUUUUAAACUUUUUUUCUGCAUUUUUCAACUCUGGCUGUGGCAUAAGGCCUUAAUUCUGUCAUCUUAUUUGGUUAUAGUGUCUGUUUGUAUGUCUUCCUUUUAAAAAUAUUUUAUGUUCAUGUUUUGUUUUAGGGUUUUCCUCCUCAUCUAGUAAAUACUUCUAUUCAAUUUAUGACCAUCAUUAUUAUUAUUUAGAGAAUAUGGAGAUGGUUCUGAGGUACAAUACAACAAAAAUCUUCAUAGGAGAACCUAAGUGCGGCCACUGGAUGAUCCAUUCAUGGAAGGAGGCUACUCAAAGUAUGAAGAUAAAAUGUGAGCUGGACAAGAACUACAAAACACGCUGAAAGAAAUCAGAGAUGACACAAACAAAUGGAAAAACAUUCCAAGCUCAUGAGCUAGAAGAAUCAAUAUCAUUAAAAUGGCCAUACUGCCCAAAGCAAUCCACAGAUUCAAUGCUAUUCCUAUCAAACUACAAACAUCAUUUUUCACAGAAUUAGAAAAAUCCUGCCGGGUCCAGUGGCUCACGCCUGUAAUCCCAGCACUUUGGGAGGCUGAGGCGGGUGGAUCACAACGUCAGGAGUUCAAGACCAGCCUGGCUAAGAUGAUGAAACCCCAUCUCUACUAAAAUUACAUAAAUUAGCUGGGCAUGGUUGGCGGGCUCCUGUAAUCCCAGCUAUUUGGGAGGCUGAGGCAGGAGAAUUGCUUGAACUCAGGAGGCAGAGGUUGCAGUGAGCUGAGAUUGCACAGCUGCACUCAGAGCCUGGGAGACACAGCAAGACUCCGUCUCAAAAAAAAAAAAAAAGAAAAAAUCCAUUCUAAAAUUCAUAUGGAACCAAAAAAUCAAUCCUAAGCAAAUAAAACAAAGCUGAGGUAUCACAUUACCUGAGUUAAACUAUACUAUAAGGAAGCUACAGUAACCAAAACAGCAUGGUACAGAUAUAAAAACAGACCCAUAGACCAAUGGAAUGGAACAGACAGAAAUAAAGCUACACACCUACAGCCAUCUGACCUUUGACAAAGUUAACAAAAAUAAGCAACAGAGAAAGGAUUCCCUAAUUCAAUAAAUGGUGCUGGAACAGCUGUCUAGCCAUAUGCAGAAGACUCAAACUGGACCCCUUUCACCAUAUAUAUAAAAUUACCUCAAGAUAGAUUAAAGAUUUAAAUAUAAGGGGCCGGGUGCAGUGGCUCAUGCCUGUAAUCCCAGCACUUUGGGAGACUGAGGUGGGUGGAUCACUUGAGGCUCGGAAUUCAAGACCAGCCUGGCCAACAUGGUAAAACCCCAUUCCUACUAAAAAUAGAAAAAUUAGCCAGGCGUGGUGGCAUGUGCCUGUAAUCCCAGUUAGGUUGGGAGGCUGAGGCAUGAGAAUCGCUUGAGCCUGGGAGGUGGAGGUUGUGGUGAGCCAAGAUUGUACCACUGUACUCCAGCCUGGGCAACAGAAGGAGACUCUGUCUUUGGGGAAAAAAAAAAAAAAAGAUUUAAAUGUAAGACUUCAAGCUAUAAGAGUCCUAGAAGAAAACCUACGAAAUAACAUCUGGACAUCAGCUAUGGGAAAGAACUUACGGCUAAGUCCUCAAAAGCAAUUGCAACAAAAACAAAAAUUGACAAGUGGAACCUAAUCAAACUAAAGAGCUUCUGCACCGCAAAAGGAACUAUCAAUACAGUAAACAGACAACCUACAGAAUGGGAGAGAAUAUUCACAAACUGUGCAUCUGAAAAAGGUCUAAUGUCCAAAAUCUAUAAGGAACUAAAACAAUUCAGAAAACGAAAACCAAGUAACUCGUGGCCAGGUGUGGUGGCUCACUCCUGUAAUCCCAGCACUUUGGGAGGCUGAGAUGGGUGGAUCACCUGAGGUCAGGAAUUCGAGACCAGGCUGGCCAACAUGGUGAAACCCUGUCUCUACUAAAAGUACCAAAAUUAGCCACGCUUGGUGGCAGGCACCUGUAAUCCCAGCAACUCAGGAGGCUGGGGCAGGAGAAUCGCUUGAACCCGGGAGGUGGAGGUUGCAGUGAGCUGAGAUGGUGCCAUUGCACUCUAGCCUGGGUGACAACAGUGAAACUCCAUCUCAAAACAAAAACAAAAACAAAAAUACACACACACAAACAAAAACCCAUUAAAAAAAUGCCAAAAGACUUGAACAGACACUUCUCAAAAGACAACAUACAAGCGGUUAACAAACAUGAAAAAAUGCUCAACAUUACUAAUCAGAUAAAUGCAAAUCAAAACCACAAUGAGUUACAAUCUCACACCAGUCAGAAUGGCUAUUAUCAAAAAGUCAAAAAAAUAACAGAUGCUGGUGAGGCUGUGGGAAAAACGGAAUGCUUCAACACUGUAGAAGCCAGUGCAGUGUAGAAUGCGCCUACACUGAUGGAAAUGCAAAUUAGUUCAGCCACUGUGAAAGCAGUUUGGAGAUUUCUCAAAGAAGUUAAAACAGAACUACCAUUUGAACCAGCAAUCCCAUGACUGGAUAUAAAUCCAAAUGAAAAUAAAUUGUUCUACCAAAAAGACACAUACACUCACAUAUUCAUCACAGCACUAUUCACAACAGCAAAGACACAGAAUCAACCUAGAUGCUCAUUAAUAGUGGACUGGAUAAAGAAAAUUGGUACAUAUACACCACAGAAUACUAUGCAGCCAUAAAAAAGAAUGAAAAUCAUGUCUUUUGCAGCAACAUGGAUGCAGCUGGAGGUCAUUAUAGUGAAUAUACACAGGAACAGAAAACCAAAGACCGCAUGUUCUCACUUAUCAGUGGGAACUAAGCAAUGGGUACACAUGGACAUAAAAAUGAGAACAGACAUAGGGGACUACUGGAGGGAAGAGGGGAGGGAAGGGGUGAAAAACCACCUGUUGGACUCUAUGCUCACUACCUGGGUGACAGGAUCAUUUGUACCCCAAACCUCAGCAUCACAAAAUAUACCCAUAUAACUCACCUGCACAUGUACCCCUACAUCUAAAAUAAAAGUUGAAAUUAUAAAAACAACAACAACAACAAAAAAAAUGAAAUGUGAGUUAGGCAAGUCCAGAUUCUAGCUGAUCCCUGAGAAAUGUACUUUUCUCCAAGUCAAUGAAUCCAAUCUUUAAUGGAUCUGGGAUGCUCUCUGACCAGGUCCUGUUAUGAGUUUCCUGUGUUAUAAUUAAAAACCCCAAACUGAUUAAGCAUGAGAGGAUACUUCCUGCUCUCAGAUAAAUUAUUUAUUAUAUUCUGUAUUAUCCUUGUAAUUUUUCUGGAUAUGAAUAAAUAACAAUGUAUCUCAGAAAAACACAUUUUGAAAAGCC
rnacentral:lncRNA from 10 species